CGAGUUGAAGCUCUGAACUUCUCAAAACCCCAUCUUAGAUUCAAAAGAAAACCUGGUCUCUUCUUCAAUUGACUUCUUCUUAAUCAAGAGCAUAAAGUUAUCAAAAUCAGCUUCACAUACCCUAUCACAAAAUCGAUUGAACCACAACAACCCUAGUUCGCUAAACAGUUGGAAGCAUUGAUCUGAGCUUUUAGGUCAUCUGUGACAUUUGGAAGCAUCGAUCUGAUAAUCAGAUAAUUCACCUGGUAAUGAAUUGCCCUGUUAUUGUCCCCGUGAGGAUGAAAGAUAUGGUCGAAUCGUGAGGAUACCGAAGCCAUUGGCUCAGAUUAUGAUCGUUACUUGCGUAAUUGAGGAGUAACUGAAAUUACAUUUCAUUACAUAAGAGUGUUUUUUUGGAUAUUUGCUGCAGAUAGGCUUUGAAUUAGGUUCAUCAUUCAAACCAUUCAAUCAGCUGAUGGGUGUCUUUCCAGCUGCAAGUUCCCUUGCGCUACCUGAGCAUUAUAGGAAAUUGAUGAGCGACCCAACUUCACCGAUUAUUGAUUUUUAUCCGACUGGUAUGUUCUAUGGUCUCGAAAAUACGUAGUGUUAAAUUCGUUAAGAUUGGCAAGAGGUUUACAUGGCAGGUUAGAUUCUUAAAUUUCUUGUGUAGAGUGUUGGAUAUUUUGGUUCUUGAUAUCUGUUUUAUGGGAGAGUUGAAAAUCUCAUUUAUACCAAUUACUCGAGAUUCUCUUUUUGUAGGGUAUCCCUAAACUACCAUUCAUCGAUGAAAGUCGUCUUCUUACCAAGCGUAGUAUAUGUUGUUUUGGAUCUAUUACAGGGUUAGCGUAGUUGCUAUUGCCAAGUUCAAUGAAUUUGAAAAAUUGCAAGAAACGUCUUCAUGCAAAAUAUGUUGUUCAUCCAGAUGCAUCUAACACUUUAUUUGUCGAAUGGUUGCCUGCAAAUUGUACAAAACGUGAAUUCUCUCGUAUCCUUUUUAUCAGCAGACUCUAUCUUCAUGUCUUUUUUUGUUUAUUGAGAACUUUUCCUCCUCCGAACGCUUUUUUUCAUAUAUCAUCUUCAGUUGAUGGACCUUCACUUGGGUUUGUAGUUAUCUUGCUCCUUUUGUAGGUUUUAAAGAAGUAACACCUAUGAGCAAGGAGUCUCGUCAUUCUGGAGGAGAUCCACUUGUCCUGUGUUUUGUUGAUAUUAUCAAUCCUGUGCAAGCAGCAACGGUGUUGGGCGCCUUACAAGGCGAACACAAAAAGCUUACUCUUCUUAUUUGUUCACUUUAUGUGAAGCUUAUCUCCAUUUGCAUACACAAACUUAUUUUACCAUGUCUCCUCAUCGUUGCUGCUUGCAUAGGAUUCCAAAAUAGUGUAUUUGCAUCGCGAUGGAGCAUCAUUAGUGCACUUAGGUUACAGACCAAAACCUUGAUAUUUCGCAGAAGACACCUGCUUGUGUACCUUAUGCUUUGCGGCACUAUUAUUAUCAGUAUUUAUCGUCCAUCGCUGAGGCUGUUGAGGUGUGAUCUUAAAUGAUGAUUCGACAAAUUGUUAAUUGACAAGGAUAAACUUUUUGGUGAGCUUGCAUCUAUGAGUGCAAGGUGUAGUUCUUGUUCCGACCAUAUUUGCUUAGAAUUGUUAAAUCAAGCAAGAUGUUGUUAAUCAAACUGGUACAUGGAUAAUUUUCAGAUACAAAUCUGAAUACAUUCAUCAUAGAGUGCAAGGUUAGUAUGUCAGAAACAUGAUGUUAGCAGUCGCAGUCAUCCGCCUAAAUAGUUAAGUUGUUGCUUGAUUUUAUAACCUGAUUAUGCCUAUUUUAACAUGCUGAUUGCUCGACUCUGCAUAUAGUUAUUUCACCUCCUAUAUUGCAGGAGAAGAUCUCAAUUCUUAGAGAAAAUGACACAUUACUAAAAGCAAAGGAAAAUCUGAAUCUUUAGAUGGAUUCUUUGAUGAAAAACAAAGAUUUAGCUGACGGUCAAAUUAUGGCACUAACAAAAUUUAUUGGAAGCUCUUCAAAAAGAUCUUAAGGACCGAGAGAUUCAGGUACAGGAUUUGAAGCAGUCAUUGGAGCUUCAAAGACAGGAACUAAAUGACUGCAGAGUGAGAUCACUUUACUAAAAAUGCACAUAGAGGGAUAGAAAAUUCUAUGGAAUCACAUCUCCGCGCUUUUGGUGAAAGAAAACGCUGGAAAAUUGAAGUUUUAUUGCGGAUGUUGACAAAGUUCAUCAUCAGUAACAUGUCAACCGUGGAUCAUCUCCAUCUGACCAAUUUGUCCUCAUAGCUAGCCUAGUGAUUUCCUUGGAUGCACUUGAAUGUUUUGAUAAAGUCUUAUGUAUGAGCUGAAAGGGAUCCCCAUCAGCAGAUUGCACUCCUAACAGCGUUCCUGGCAAAGGUGAAUAAGGUAUUUGGGCUUAAGUCAAAAAGCAGUACUCUGGUGAUAUUUUAGAAGCAGUUGACUCUUUGCUGAGGAGAUUGGUUAAGCAAGCGGAGCCUGGUGAUACUUCUGGUGAUAUUUAGUCUUUAUUUCCCUGUUUUUCAAUGCCUCUGUCAGUUGACACAAACUAGGUUACCCAUCCAUUUUAAAAACAUCAAUAUAGAUCGAAUAUUGUAUGUCAGUCACAACAUACAUAAGUUUACUUGUGUACAUUCAAUUGAAUAAUCCUUUCUUUUAUGAUAAUAUUACCAGUGGUGAUUCU